CCUACGGGAGGCAGCAGUGGGGAAUAUUGCACAAUGGGCGAAAGCCUGAUCCAGCAAUGCCGCGUGAGUGAUGAAGGCCUUAGGGUUGUAAAGCUCUUUUACCCGGGAUGAUAAUGACAGUACCGGGAGAAUAAGCUCCGGCUAACUCCGUGCCAGCAGCCGCGGUAAUACGGAGGGAGCUAGCGUUAUUCGGAAUUACU
rnacentral:rRNA from 1 species